UGAGUAACCUGCCCUUAACUCUGGGAUAAGCCUGGGAAACUGGGUCUAAUACCGGAUAUGAGCUCCUGCCGCAUGGUGGGGGUUGGAAAGUUUUUCGGUGCAGGAUGAGUCCGCGGCCUAUCAGCUUGUUGGUGGGAUAAUGGCCUACCAAGGCGACGACGGGUAGCCGGCCUGAGAGGGUGAUCGGCCACACUGGGACUGAGACACGGCCCAGACUCCGUACGGGAGGCAG
rnacentral:rRNA from 1 species